rnacentral:lncRNA from 1 species
CCAUAUUAGACAAAAAAAUUAAACAGAAGUAUUACAUUAGAAAAAAAGUGUCAAACACAAGUACCAAAUAAUGUAUUAAGCCUCGGCAAAAUGUAAUUAACUAAUUCUUAUUGUAAUACCCUAUUUGUGCCCGGGUCAAAAGGGCCCAAAUUACAAACGGGCCUAUGUGGCCCAAAUCAAACAGAGGCCCAAAACCAAACCCCAAAUCCAGUGGCCCAAACAAUCAGAAACCCUAGGGUUUCUAGGAUGAACUUGCGCCGCAACCAGGAUCUUCGCACUAGCCGCCUCCCCGAAUCUUCAUCUGCACACGAAAAAGGAAGCAAAACAGUAAUGGAAAGAAAUCAAAGGAUUGAGAAUCAAAUCAAUGUAAUGGAAAGAAAUCAAAAGAUUGAGAAUCAAAUCAAUGUAAACAAGAUUUUAUUUCUAUAUUUUUUAUUAUGGCUAUAUAAAGCCAUUGAGGAUACAUUAUUG